UCAAAUAAAACUAACAUUGACUCCAUUGCUUUUGGGACAUUAUAAAUUUCGGUGACUAUGAAUCAGGGCAUGUAUAAUAUUUUGGUUUGAGGCUUUCAGUUUCUGCUUUAAGAGAUGGCUCGGACUAGUCUUUCUUCUAUAUCAAUACUUUUUCUUAUUUUGCUGAUAUUUGCCUUUACUUUCUUUGCACAGCUUGCUCCAGUUAGUGCAGAUCCGAGAAUGAGAAAAUUGGGUGACGUGCCAAGUCCACCUCCUUCACCAUUGCGUAACCAAACGCAUGCCCCUGGUGUUCGAAAGACCCUUGGUGUUCUAAAUGUUCCUUCUCCCCCACCCAUUUUAACUAAUUUCUAACUGUCAGCUGUAGACAGUUAUGUGUGUGUUUGGAUUCUCCUUAAUUUCUGAUCCACGUUUCAACCGAGAUUUUCACGUUAUAAAUGAACUAUUUGUUGCUUUAAUUUGGUGACGUGCUUCUGACCCCAACAAACGGGAAAUAAAACAUGUGGUAACUAAUAACUUUUGAUGUUACUUUGAUCCCAACUGAAAUGUUACAAUAAAUCAUAUGGGCCUCAAGCUUUGACUCUCAUUUUGUUUAUUUUACUGUAUUAUAUUUUACGUAUAAAUCACACUGUAUCCCAAGUGUAGUACUUAGGUACAAUUCGAUUCCGAAGAUAUUAAAAGGCAUUUUAUUUAUUAUUUUA